GCCGCCGCCGCCGCCGCCGCCGCCGCCGCCGCCGAGGCUGCUCCCAGGCUCGGCUGCCUCCAGUUUGGGGCUGCAGCAGGGAGAGGGAGAGUUUUGGGUGUCAGUUAGGCGGAGUCUCGGAGGCUUCGCUCCCGGGUGAUGCUGCUGCUCUCGCAGACAUAGCUGCCAGCCACUCAGUCCCGGAGCCGCUCCGCCCACGGGCACCCCCCCCCCCACACCCCAGGUCAGAGCCACUCGUGCCCCAGCCUCUCCCCCCACGCUCGCCAACGUGCACGCCCCAUCGCUCUAUCCCCAGAUGCCCUGAAGGACAACACUUAUGGUCUGAGUAAUAGUCAGAAAUAAUGACUUAGACAAAGCUCCUCUAAUGUAAGUUUCUUAGUUCUGCUAUCCACUGAUAUUCUCAAAUCAUCAUUUCUCAAAAUAACUCUAAAAUUGGACACCACUGUUAACUGCUAAUUUAACUUAAUAGCCGAGAUUAUAACUUCAAAGUGGAAAAUCAUUGAAGUGGUGUCAGGUUCAAAUCCUUACUCUACCAUUUGAGAAUUGUAGUGGGUUUAAUACUCCCUCUCCCCACCCCAAAUUCACAUUCAUUCAGAACCUCAGAAGGUGACCUCAUUUGGUAAUGGGUCUUUACAAAUGAAAUUAGCUAAAAUGAGUUCAUACUGUAUUAGGAUGAGUCCCAAAUCCAAUGGGUAGUGUCCUCAUAACAGGAGAGAUGGCACACACAUACAGGAAAGGAAGCCACAAAAAGACACAGAGAGACACAGAGAGACACAGAGAGAGGAUGGCCAUGUGAAAACAGAAGCAGAGAAUAGAGUGAUGCUGCCCCAAACCAUGGAAUGCCAGGAGCCACCUGAAGCUAGAAGAGGCAAAGAAGGAUUUUUCUCUACAGACUUCAAAGAAAGCACAGCCCUGCUAACACUGUAGUUUUGAACUUCUCCAUAACUGUGAGAGAAUAAAUUUCUAUCAUUUUAA